AGAGUUUGAUCAUGGCUCAGAUUGAACGCUGGCGGCAGGCCUAACACAUGCAAGUCGAGCGGUAGCACAGAGAGCUUGCUCUCGGGUGACGAGCGGCGGACGGGUGAGUAAUGUCUGGGAAACUGCCUGAUGGAGGGGGAUAACUACUGGAAACGGUAGCUAAUACCGCAUAAUGUCGCAAGACCAAAGUGGGGGACCUUCGGGCCUCAUGCCAUCAGAUGUGCCCAGAUGGGAUUAGCUAGUAGGUGGGGUAACGGCUCACCUAGGCGACGAUCCCUAGCUGGUCUGAGAGGAUGACCAGCCACACUGGAACUGAGACACGGUCCAGACUCCUACGGGAGGCAGCAGUGGGGAAUAUUGCACAAUGGGCGCAAGCCUGAUGCAGCCAUGCCGCGUGUGUGAAGAAGGCCUUCGGGUUGUAAAGCACUUUCAGCGGGGAGGAAGGCGGUGAGGUUAAUAACCUCAUCGAUUGACGUUACCCGCAGAAGAAGCACCGGCUAACUCCGUGCCAGCAGCCGCGGUAAUACGGAGGGUGCAAGCGUUAAUCGGAAUUACUGGGCGUAAAGCGCACGCAGGCGGUCUGUCAAGUCGGAUGUGAAAUCCCCGGGCUCAACCUGGGAACUGCAUUCGAAACUGGCAGGCUAGAGUCUUGUAGAGGGGGGUAGAAUUCCAGGUGUAGCGGUGAAAUGCGUAGAGAUCUGGAGGAAUACCGGUGGCGAAGGCGGCCCCCUGGACAAAGACUGACGCUCAGGUGCGAAAGCGUGGGGAGCAAACAGGAUUAGAUACCCUGGUAGUCCACGCCGUAAACGAUGUCGAUUUGGAGGUUGUGCCCUUGAGGCGUGGCUUCCGGAGCUAACGCGUUAAAUCGACCGCCUGGGGAGUACGGCCGCAAGGUUAAAACUCAAAUGAAUUGACGGGGGCCCGCACAAGCGGUGGAGCAUGUGGUUUAAUUCGAUGCAACGCGAAGAACCUUACCUGGUCUUGACAUCCACAGAACUUAGCAGAGAUGCUUUGGUGCCUUCGGGAACUGUGAGACAGGUGCUGCAUGGCUGUCGUCAGCUCGUGUUGUGAAAUGUUGGGUUAAGUCCCGCAACGAGCGCAACCCUUAUCCUUUGUUGCCAGCGGUCCGGCCGGGAACUCAAAGGAGACUGCCAGUGAUAAACUGGAGGAAGGUGGGGAUGACGUCAAGUCAUCAUGG
rnacentral:rRNA from 1 species